GUUAACAUAGUUUAAAAAAAACAUUGUCUUUUCAAGACAAAAAUGAUUAAUUAUCUAUUAAU
rnacentral:tRNA from 1 species